rnacentral:RNase_P_RNA from 1 species
GGUAGUCGCUGCUUUGUUGAUGUCCUUCGGGAGACUGACGUUGAGGUCCUUCGGGAGACUGACAAAGGGGAGGAAAGUCCGGGCUUCAUAGAGCAAGGUGCCAGGUAACGCCUGGGGGGCGCAAGCCUACGACAAGUGCAGCAGAGAGAAGACCGCCGAUGGCCCGCAAGGGAACAGGUAAGGGUGAAAGGGUGCGGUAAGAGCGCACCGGACGACUAGUAAUAGUUCGUAGCAGGGUAAACUCCACCUGAAGC